rnacentral:rRNA from 1 species
UACGUAGGGUGCAAGCGUUGUCCGGAAUUAUUGGGCGUAAAGAGCUCGUAGGCGGUCUGUUGCGUCGGCUGUGAAAACCCGAGGCUCAACCUCGGGCCUGCAGCCGAUACGGGCAGACUAGAGUUCGGCAGGGGAGACUGGAAUUCCUGGUGUAGCGGUGAAAUGCGCAGAUAUCGGGAAGAACACCCGUGGCGAAGGCGGCUCUCUGGGACGGUACUGACGCUGAGACGCGAAAGCGUGGGGAGCGAACAGG